CCUACGGGAGGCAGCAGUGAGGAAUAUUGGUCAAUGGACGGAAGUCUGAACCAGCCAUGCCGCGUGCAGGAAGACGGCUCUAUGAGUUGUAAACUGCUUUUGUACAAGGGUAAACCUGAAUACGUGUAUUCAGCUGAAAGUACUGUACGAAUAAGGAUCGGCUAACUCCGUGCCAGCAGCCGCGGUAAUACGGAGGAUCCAAGCGUUAUCCGGAUUUACUGGGUUUAAAGGGCGCGUAGGCGGAUCUAUAAGUCAGAGGUGAAAUCCCCGAGCUUAACUCGUGGACUGCCUUUGAUACUGUAGAUCUGGAGUGUAGAUGCGGUAGGCGGAAUGUAUGGUGUAGCGGUGAAAUGCGUAGAGAUCAUACAGAACACCGGUUGCGAAGGCAGCUUAC
rnacentral:rRNA from 1 species